rnacentral:rRNA from 1 species
AACGGCCAUACCAUGCUGAAUAUACCGGUUCUCGUUCGAUCACCGAAGUCAAGCAUCGUUGGGCGCGGUCAGUACUUGGGUGGGUGACCACCUGGGAACACCGCGUGCCGUU